GGGUUGUGAGGUUAAGCGACUAAGCGUACACGGUGGAUGCCCUGGCAGUCAGAGGCGAUGAAGGACGUGCUAAUCUGCGAAAAGCGUCGGUAAGGUGAUAUGAACCGUUAUAACCGGCGAUGUCCGAAUGGGGAAACCCAGUGCAAUUCGUUGCACUAUCGUUAACUGAAUACAUAGGUUAACGAGGCGAACCGGGGGAACUGAAACAUCUAAGUACCCCGAGGAAAAGAAAUCAACCGAGAUUCCCCCAGUAGCGGCGAGCGAACGGGGAGCAGCCCAGAGUCUGAAUCAGCUUGUGUGUUAGUGGAACGGUCUGGAAAGUCCGACGGUACAGGGUGAUAGUCCCGUACACCAAAAUGCACAGGCUGUGAACUCGAAGAGUAGGGCGGGACACGUGGUAUCCUGUCUGAAUAUGGGGGGACCAUCCUCCAAGGCUAAAUACUCCUGACUGACCGAUAGUGAACCAGUACCGUGAGGGAAAGGCGAAAAGAACCCCGGCGAGGGGAGUGAAAAAGAACCUGAAACCGUGUACGUACAAGCAGUGGGAGCACCUUCGGGUGUGACUGCGUACCUUUUGUAUAAUGGGUCAGCGACUUAUAUUCUGUAGCAAGGUUAACCGUAUAGGGGAGCCGCAGGGAAACCGAGUCUUAACUGGGCGUUAAGUUGCAGGGUAUAGACCCGAAACCCGGUGAUCUAGCCAUGGGCAGGUUGAAGGUUGGGUAACACUAACUGGAGGACCGAACCGACUAAUGUUGAAAAAUUAGCGGAUGACUUGUGGCUGGGGGUGAAAGGCCAAUCAAACCGGGAGAUAGCUGGUUCUCCCCGAAAGCUAUUUAGGUAGCGCCUCGUGAACUCAUCUUCGGGGGUAGAGCACUGUUUCGGCUAGGGGGUCAUCCCGACUUACCAACCCGAUGCAAACUACGAAUACCGAAGAAUGUUAUCACGGGAGACACACGGCGGGUGCUAACGUCCGUCGUGAAGAGGGAAACAACCCAGACCGCCAGCUAAGGUCCCAAAGUCAUGGUUAAGUGGGAAACGAUGUGGGAAGGCACAGACAGCCAGGAUGUUGGCUUAGAAGCAGCCAUCAUUUAAAGAAAGCGUAAUAGCUCACUGGUCGAGUCGGCCUGCGCGGAAGAUGUAACGGGGCUAAACCAUGCACCGAAGCUGCGGCAGCGACACUAUGUGUUGUUGGGUAGGGGAGCGUUCUGUAAGCCUGCGAAGGUGUGCUGUGAGGCAUGCUGGAGGUAUCAGAAGUGCGAAUGCUGACAUAAGUAACGAUAAAGCGGGUGAAAAGCCCGCUCGCCGGAAGACCAAGGGUUCCUGUCCAACGUUAAUCGGGGCAGGGUGAGUCGACCCCUAAGGCGAGGCCGAAAGGCGUAGUCGAUGGGAAACAGGUUAAUAUUCCUGUACUUGGUGUUACUGCGAAGGGGGGACGGAGAAGGCUAUGUUAGCCGGGCGACGGUUGUCCCGGUUUAAGCAUGUAGGCUGGUUAUCCAGGCAAAUCCGGAUAAUCAAGGCUGAGGUGUGAUGACGAGGCACUACGGUGCUGAAGUAACAAAUGCCCUGCUUCCAGGAAAAGCCUCUAAGCAUCAGGUAACAUCAAAUCGUACCCCAAACCGACACAGGUGGUCAGGUAGAGAAUACCAAGGCGCUUGAGAGAACUCGGGUGAAGGAACUAGGCAAAAUGGUGCCGUAACUUCGGGAGAAGGCACGCUGGUGUGUAGGUGAAGUCCCUGCGGAUGGAGCUGAGACCAGUCGAAGAUACCAGCUGGCUGCAACUGUUUAUUAAAAACACAGCACUGUGCAAACACGAAAGUGGACGUAUACGGUGUGACGCCUGCCCGGUGCCGGAAGGUUAAUUGAUGGGGUUAUCCGUAAGGAGAAGCUCUUGAUCGAAGCCCCGGUAAACGGCGGCCGUAACUAUAACGGUCCUAAGGUAGCGAAAUUCCUUGUCGGGUAAGUUCCGACCUGCACGAAUGGCGUAAUGAUGGCCAGGCUGUCUCCACCCGAGACUCAGUGAAAUUGAACUCGCUGUGAAGAUGCAGUGUACCCGCGGCAAGACGGAAAGACCCCGUGAACCUUUACUAUAGCUUGACACUGAACAUUGAGCCUUGAUGUGUAGGAUAGGUGGGAGGCUUUGAAGCGUGGACGCCAGUCUGCGUGGAGCCAACCUUGAAAUACCACCCUUUAAUGUUUGAUGUUCUAACGUUGGCCCCUGACCGGGGUUGCGGACAGUGUCUGGUGGGUAGUUUGACUGGGGCGGUCUCCUCCCAAAGCGUAACGGAGGAGCACGAAGGUUAGCUAAUCCUGGUCGGACAUCAGGAGGUUAGUGCAAUGGCAUAAGCUAGCUUGACUGCGAGCGUGACGGCGCGAGCAGGUGCGAAAGCAGGUCAUAGUGAUCCGGUGGUUCUGAAUGGAAGGGCCAUCGCUCAACGGAUAAAAGGUACUCCGGGGAUAACAGGCUGAUACCGCCCAAGAGUUCAUAUCGACGGCGGUGUUUGGCAC
rnacentral:rRNA from 1 species